rnacentral:tRNA from 1 species
GCCUGGGUGGCUCAGUUGGUUGAGCGUCUGACUUCGGCUCAGGUCAUGAUCUCACAGUUCGUGGGUUCGAGCCCCACUUUGGGCU